AGUGUCUUGCCUGGUGCUGACAGAGAACGGAAGAGGAGGGCCAUGCUCUAAGGGAGGCCUGUGCUGUGGGCUUACAGAGGGGCGGUCCUUUGGGGGGGGCAAGGCUAGAGGAGUGGUGGCCAGACAGGGGAAGUUUACACUAGGAAUAAAAUGUUUGAGCCUGUCUUUGAAGAACAGAUAAUGACUUUUUACACAGACAAGAUGAGGGAGACCCACCCUGCGCCCCCGAAGCUUUUCUGUCACCGUCUUGGAGUCUAAGGAUCUGAGCGUAUCCCUUUCCCCAGUGAGGCUACUCUUUGAAGGAAGUUACCAGGAGGCUGCCAUCCCCAGAACAUUUUGAUCCUAAAAUAUUGGAGCUAAAUCCGUCCUUUGAGAUCAGCUGACUCGAUGAUUACCAGACUCUGUGCACAGCCGAAUCAUCAGAGCCAUUGAACAUUAGGAAAGGGACCUUUCCUGUUGAAACCUCUGCUUCUCAAAGUGUGGCUCCCAGACCAGAACUAGCAUCACCAAGAGCUUGUUAGAAAUGAAGAAACUUGGACCUCACCCCAGACCUCCUGAGUCAGGACCUGCAUUUAAAACAAGAUCCCGGGUGAUCUGUGUCCACACAGAAGUGUGAGAAGCACUGGUCUAGUCCGACUUCCUUAUUUUACAAGUGAUAAAACCAACUAUCAGUCUGCAUUAGUGACUUGCUCAUGAUCACACGGUUGAGCUCAUAACAGGGCUAAGGCCGAGGCCCAGGUCUCUUGACUCUGGCAAGCCUGCUUUCCACGGCCCUCACAUGACCGUGAGGCUAGUGGAUUAUAAUAUCCAUUCACUCAAUCAGUCAACAAUUCACUCUCUCCAGCAUCACUAAGUCACCAUCCAAUAAUCAUAUACAAUCAUUUCACUAAAGAUUUUUUACCCUUUGAUCAACUCAAGAGCAAGUGAAGAGGAACCAAUAAAAGACUAGGUUAAUCUACCUUAAUUGAACACCUACAAUGAUUGGGGGAAAAAAUCUGCAUUAUAGGUUUCAACUGCCAUAUUUUUCCCACCACAUCUCAUCAUCUGCUGAGAUUUGCUGGAAAUGCCCAGGAUGUUUAGGUGUGGUGCCCCCUGAAAUGUUUCUUCCUCCAGAAGGGUGGGAAAAAGCACAAAUUGCAUUGUCUUCUCAGCACAAAAUUCCCCUAUGGCCUGAAGCAAUUGAAAAAAAAAAAAUCUCUAUGUGGGUACCACCCUAGGAUCUUAGAGAUUAGACACAGAAACCCAGGUCAUGUCCCAAAAGGGAAGAGUGGAGAUAGGAAGGACUAUUUUAAGGGAUUGAUAGGGUGAAUGGCUGGAAGUUUCUACAAUGGAAAAAAAAGGCGGGGUUAUCAUCUCUGUCAUUGCUAUUAUUGUUGUUGUUAUCAAAAACUUGUAAAUAGUGCUCUUAAAUUAUUGUCCCUUUAAAACAAUAAAGGACAUAAUGGAGAUUUCUGCAUGCAUUUGCAAAGAGAAUAUUGCUAUUCACCAACAGCUUUAAGAAAA